rnacentral:tRNA from 1 species
GGGAAGGUGGCUCAGUGGUAGAGUGCUUGCCUUGCAUGCAUGAGGCCCUGGGUUCCCUUCCUC